rnacentral:rRNA from 1 species
GGUAUUGAAAUAAGGCUUUGAAUGAGUGCUAAGAGAAUGGUUAAACGAUUAAAAGCUUUCUUUAAUUAAUAAGUUGAAUUUAAUUUUUUUGUGAAGAAGCAAAAAUUUGAAUUAGGGACAAGAAGACCCUAUGAAUUUUAUAUUAAAUUUAUAGAAGAUAUAUUUUUAAGAAUUUAAUUUGAUUGGGGCGAUAGAAAAAGAAUAUAUAUCUUUUUGUAGAGAUUAGUUAAUUUGUUCCGUUAUUAACGAUUAAAUGAGAAAAAUACUCUAGGGAUAACAGCGUAAUAAUUUUGGAUAGUUCAUAUAGAUAAAAUAGUUUGCGACCUCGAUGUUGGAUUAGGAUUC